rnacentral:rRNA from 2 species
CAGAGAGGUCACACCCGUUCCCAUACCGAACACGGAAGUUAAGCUCUCUAGCGCCGAUGGUAGUUGGGACCUUGUCCCUGUGAGAGUAGGACGUCGCCAAGC